GGAGAGGUGUCUGAGUGGUCUAUGGUGCACGCUUGGAAAGCGUGUGAGGGUAACACCUCCGCAGGUUCGAAUCCUGUCCUCUCCGCCA
rnacentral:tRNA from 1 species